rnacentral:lncRNA from 13 species
UCAGCUUGCCUCCGCAAAGUCACCAUUACAUUAAGUGAAAUAAGCCAGACGUGAAAAGAUCAUAUAUUCUCAUUUAUAGGUGGAAUCUAAAAACACCGUACAUAUAGAAGCAAAGAGUAGAAUGGGGGUUACCAGAAGCUGAGGUGGGAGGAAGAAGUAAGUUUAAGAGGUCUACUGCACAUCAUGGUGAUUAUAGUUAUAGCAAUGUACUAUAUAAUUGAAACUCACAAAAAUAAUAGAUUUUAACUAACCAAAAAAAAAAUUUGAUGAGCUAAUGCACAUAUUAAAUAGCUUGAUUUAUCCAUUCCACAAUGUAGACAUAUACAUACAGACUUACCAUGUUUUACUAGAUUUCACUUUAUUGUGCUUCACAGAUACUGUGUUUUUACAAACUGACAAUGACAGUACUAAUGGAAUUGGGCUCUGAUAUUGGUAAUUGCUACCUAGUGAAACAGAGUAACUCAACAGAACACACUUUGUUACAACAACUCAAAAAAUUAUUUUUUCAUGUUUAUAUCCUAGUGAAUUGAGACUGUUCAAUAAACUGGUUUCAUGGCAAUGAUACUCAAUAUCAUCACUGCAAAACUUUGCCCCUCUGCUGCAGGUCUGCUGGAAGUCCGCUCCAGGCCCUGCUUCCUGGGAAUCACCUGUGGGGGCUGCAGAACAGCAAAGAUUGCUGCCCAUUCCUUUUUCAGAUAUCAAUUUAUCUCUUCGGAGAGACCUUCUCUGUCAACCUAAUCUUAAGCAACAACUCAGUCACCACCAUAAUUUUUAAAAUAAAAUUCUCUGUAGAGCAUUUAACA